rnacentral:rRNA from 1 species
CCUACGGGAGGCAGCAGUGAGGAAUAUUGGUCAAUGGGCGAGAGCCUGAACCAGCCAAGUCGCGUGAAGGAUGACGGCCCUACGGGUUGUAAACUUCUUUUGUGAGGGAGCAAUUGAGUCCACGUGUGGUCUUAGCGAGAGUACCUGAAGAAAAAGCAACGGCUAACUCCGUGCCAGCAGCCGCGGUAAUACGGAGGAGGGGAGCGUUAUCCGGAUGUAUUGGGUUAAAGGGGUGCGUAGGCGGAAUAUCAAGUCAGCGGUAAAAAUUCGGGGUUCAACCCCGUCGUGCCGUUGAAACUGAUGGUCUUGAGUGGGCGAGAGGUAUGCGGAAUGCGUGGUGUAGCGGUGAAAUGCAUAGAUAUCACGCAGAACUCCGAUUGCGAAGGCAGCAUACCGGCGCCCAACUGACGCUGAAGCACGAAAGCGUGGGUAUCGAACAGGAUUAGAUACCCGUGUAGUC